UACGAAGGGGGCGAGCGUUGUUCGGAUUUACUGGGCGUAAAGGGCGCGCAGGCGGCCACGCACGUCCGUUGUGAAAUCGCCCGGCUCAACUGGGCGGGUCAGCGGAUACGGCGCGGCUGGAGCAAGCUAGGGGGCAAUGGAACUCCCGGUGUAGUGGUGGAAUGCGUAGAUAUCGGGAAGAACACCAGUGGCGAAGGCGGUUGCCUGGAGCUUGCUGACGCUGAGGCGCGA
rnacentral:rRNA from 1 species